CUUAAAGGGUUAUUCAAUUCAGCAGCUAGCAGGAAAUGUUGAAAGUUCCAAGGGGUCACAAGCUAGAGUCACUUCCGUCUCCCUCGGAUCAGAGAACUUCAUCCAGUAUUAUUCCAGGGUUAACCAAGUAGUUUUUCAGGACUUCUAACUCGAAGGUAUCAACUUCUAUUCUUGGAGCUAGGCUAUACAUACAUAAUAGCUUAUCCUCCCUGUUGUGUAAAUUGCCUUUUUGGUUCCUUUUCUUCUCUAAUUAAUGUGAUCAUCUUUUAAAUAAAAACGAGCAUGUGCAUGGAUGUAACAAUGCAAGGGAAAGCAAUAGAGUAUCGGUCUCUCUUUUUUUUUCUUAUCUAACAUUAAUAUUUUCAAUUGUUUAAAUACAUUAAUGAUCCUCUAAUUGUUUUUCAAUUAACCGAAUAAUGAGAUACAAUAAAACAUUAAAACUACCAUGAUGGAACAAUUUUUUAUGAUACCAAUAUAGAAAUAGUGUUUCAAUGAAAGGAAAAAGGAGAAACUAUUCACUUUGGCGUUGUCAGGCUUCUGAUGGCAAUCCUCCAUUUUUAUGGACAACAAACUUGAUUUCUAGAUUUUCUUGCACCCUCUAUCAUUU